GCGCGACAAUUGGACACCAGGCAAAUAUACCACUAUUAUAACGCUAGUGUAUAUUGCUUGUGUACAGGUAUAGUAAGAGGUUAGGGUAUAGAGGCAAAGAGAAAGAAGUGAAUACCCCAAGACUGUGCCACCUUGUGGUAGUGCUAGCCCUGAUACCCACUAAAUUUUAUAAACCCAUUCCAUCUCUGACAAAUAAUAGGCAAAGGCAGUCUGAA